GACGAACGCUGGCGGCGUGCUUAACACAUGCAAGUCGAGCGGAGCGGCGAACGGGUGUGUAACGAGUGAGUAACUGACCCCCUCCCUGGGAUAACAGUUGGAAACGGAUGCUAAUAACGGAUAGUGGGGACUGACGCGCGUCCUAUUGGCUGGUUGGUGGGGUAGUGGCCUACCAAGGCGACGACGGGUAACCGGGCUGAGAGGGCGACCGGCCACAUUGGGCUUGGAGACGGCCCAAUCUCCGACGGGAGGCAGCGGUGGGGAAUAUUGCACAAUGGGGGAAACCCUGAUGCAGCAACGCGCGUGCGGGAUGACGGCCUUCGGGUUGUAAACCGCUUUCAGCCAGGACGCGGUAGUGGCAGAAGAAGCACCGGCUAACUACGUGCCAGCAGCCGCGGUAAUAC
rnacentral:rRNA from 1 species